AGUUCACGAGAGCCGGGGCGGGCGGCCCAUUGUCCGAUGGCGGCGGCGGGACGCGGAAGACCCAAAUGAAACAGUUCUAUCCCAGGAAAACUGCUGUUCUGAUCGACAGGUGGAAGGACAGACUUAUACCAGCUACGAUUCGGACCCGGGCACUGACAUGGGAUUCAGGCAUCCCAGGAAGUGAUCUAACUGCUAUGCUAAACACCUGCCUCAUCUUGUAAUUUUAGUACUGCUGGGUGGUACUACCCCCAUGCUGCUGAGGAACACACAAGGAACCUGAGAGAGGAAUCGGACAUGUCCCAGGACAUUACCAGGCCCAAGAUGAGACUCCAACUCUGGUUCCUAAGAGGACCGACUAGA